GGUGACCAGAGAGCAGUGUGAGGAUUUGGCAGCGACGUGUUGACGCUGCGCUUGCGUACCGUACGUAGGGCAAGACUGGAAGGCCGCUGGGAAAAUACCAGCAUCCCGAACGCAAAAAACGGACAGCGGGUCCACGUGCUAGGGAUUCGACCGCAUCCAAUGCAGGUGGGAAGAUCCCGCUAGACUAAAAUAGCUUAUCCUUAUCAAAAACCGGAAAUGCCAAAUGGACACGUGGGACGAGGGUUCGGUUAAAUAACGCAGGAUGGUGGCCUACAAGGUUUCAUUGUGUUUCUGGAAAAGGAAAUAAUAUUCAGGAUGCCUAACACCGAUGAGUGAAGCCUCAAGUUAAUGAGCCCUGGGCUGGAGGCUUCCUAAAACACUAUGCAAAUGUGUAUUAAACAAGGCGUAGAGGAAACACUGACCAUUUUAAGAUGGUUGAUGCAACUUCUGAAAAUCUGAAGAACUUUGUUUCAAGCUGGUAUUAGCAUUUCACGAAAAGGAUCGGGGAGUUCUGCAUUAGGGUGAAGUAGAUUUCUCAUUAACAUGGAUGAAAAAUACCUAUUGAUAGUAUAAUUCGUUGAGCAGAGGGCAGAAGAGGGCGCCGCAACUGUGAGCAGGGUUGAGAAGCCUGUUUGGAUCCAGCUCUGCCAUUCUGGGCCGUGAGGUUACCAAUGUAGCAGUGAAGAAAGCCGGGGAUCACAGGCUCUCCUCCUUGUUAUAACAUUAGUAACAACACAAGAGGAGAGGAAACCAAGAGACGACAGAAAGCCUGGAACAGGCAACCGGGCCCAGAGACUUGGAGGCUGGAAGUCAAUAACCAAAGUGCCAGCACAGACCAAGCUGGGAGGACUCCAUUCUGGAUUGCGGAUGGCCACCUUCUUGCCAGGUUCUCAUCAUGGCCAGGAGUCAAAAGUGAGCAGCAGUGCCCACCUCUUGGUCAUGCAGGGUGAAGGAAUGAACCAGGGCUUGUGUUUGCCAGCAGCUUGCGGCACCAGGAAUGAUGGACAGCAACAUGGUCUCUGGCUGGCAGCGUUGAUCAGACACCGAUGUGGAUUCAGAGGCACCAAGGACUACGAACAUCAUCAUGGCCUCCAGCAGCAGCACUGAUCAUGGAAGUCUUUCAAGGGGACAACUCAGAAAUUGAAUUGUUCUUCAUCUCGGAUAUCUUGUUGCUCAGAGUCAGGGUGAUCGUGGGAUCGGGCCCGUGUGUGUGUGUGUGUGGGGGGGGGGGGGGGGCGGGGGACACCUAGAAGAGCUGCGGCUCCAUUCUGUGGGCUAGGCCUGCGGGCUGAGCGGCAGCAGUACUUGUCCUAGCAGGCGGGAACCGGGUGAGGUGGAUCCUAUAGUCGCUUGAGCCUCCAGGGGCCGAGGAGAACCUUCUCUACUGGGCAAUGACAUGCUCCUUUGUGCCCUCUCCCUGCCGCAGCCCUGCUCCAUACCCAUCGCUGCCCAGUCUCGCUUCCCUCUGUCGCGCUGCUCUGUUCUGCAGUAUGGAAAAAAUAUACUUUAGGGGUGGGGCACGCCAUUGAACUUUUCAUAAUUUCCAUCUCUUUGCUGAAAUUCCCUCUGACUACACCCAUUGUCAGCUUUCCCCACCAGAUCCUUUAAUGUAUUGUUACACUUUUUAAAAGUCUUCUCUGCUAAUUUGAAUACUCAGAUCAUAUGCAAAUCCGC
rnacentral:lncRNA from 1 species